rnacentral:rRNA from 1 species
GGCGUAGGCAGGUUACUGGGCCAUUUCUGACGCUAAGGCACGAAAGCGUGGGGAGCGAACCGGAUUAGAUACCCGGGUAGUCCACGCCGUAAACGAUGGAUACUAGCUGUUGGAGGUAUCGACCCCUUCAGUAGCGAAGCUAACGCGUUAAGUAUCCCGCCUGUGGAGUACGGCCGCAAGGCUAAAACAUAAAGGAAUUGACGGGGACCCGCACAAGCGGUGGAUUAUGUUCUUUAAUUCGAUGAUAACCGAAGAACCUUACCAGGGCUUGACAUCCAGGGAAGGUCUGCGAAAGUAGACUGUGCCUUUUGGAACCCUGUGACAGGUGAUGCAUGGCCGUCGUCAGCUCGUGUCGUGAGAUGUUAGGUUAAGUCCUUCAACGAGCGCAACCCUUGUGAAUAGUUGUAUUUUUCUAUUCAGACUGCCCCGGUAACGGGGAGGAAGGAGGGGAUGAUGUCAGGUCAGUAUUUCCCUUACGUCCUGGGCUAGAAACGUAAUACAAUGGCUAGUACAAUGCGCAGCGAAGCCGCGAGGUGAAGCAAAUCGCAUCAAAGCUAGUCCCAGUUCGGAUUGUAGGCUGAAACUCGCCUGCAUGAAGUCGGAAUCGCUAGUAAUCGCAAAUCAGCAAGUUGCGGUGAAUACGUUCCCGGGUCUUGUACACACCGCCCGUCAAACCAUGAAAGUGACCAACACCCGAAGUCCGAUUCGUCGGCCUAAGGUGGGGGGCAUGAUUGGGGUUAAGUCGUAACAAGGUAUCCGUACCGGAAGGUGCGGAUGGAUUACCUCCUUUCU